GUGCUCGCUUUGGCAAUACAUAUACUAAAAUUGGAUCAACACACAGAUUAGCAUGGCCCCUGUGUCAGGAUGCCAAUGCACAUCCAUGAAAUGUUUCGUGUUUUU